rnacentral:rRNA from 1 species
AGCAGCCGCGGUAAUUCCAGCUCCAAUAGCGUAUAUUAAAGUUGUUGCAGUUAAAAGCUCGUAGUUGAAUUUCGGGAUCAAUACGUCGGUCGUGCUUCGGUACGUACUGGCGUAAUUGAUUUCUCCCUUCUGACGAACCAUGAUGUCAUUAACUUGGUGUCAUGGGAAAUCAGGACUGUUACUUUGAAAAAUUGAGUGUUUAAAGCAGGCUCACGCUUGAAUACAUUAGCAUGGAAUAAUGAAAUAGGACGUUCGAUCCUAUUUUGUUGGUUUUAGAUCAACGUAUGAUUAAUAGGGAUAGUUGGGGCAU